UGGACAGAUAGAGACUUGCAGUCUCCACUCCCUGUUUCUGUUCUUUAUCUGUACUCAACUCCCUCUUUUCUCCCAGUCUCUGGUGCAUGACGACAAAGCUGAUAAGAAGCUGCUGAGGCAUCAUGAAUUGUUUGUACUGUCAAAGAAGAUAAAUAUGCAUGAAUAUUAGAAGCUUUUAGCUAGUAAAGGGGGGGAUUGGGUUGUUUUAACUAUGACGCGACGGAACUGUCUAUAUAAUCUCACUAGUUAUUGUAAUCGUGGCUGGUUCUCUCUGGAGACGGGCCGCUCUCUAUUGUUGUGUGCACUCUUCAAUAAAGAGCUUGUGUUUGGACCUUGCUGGUGUUGCCUGUCUCUCUGCGGUCAGACAACGAACCGUGCCGUCUGGGUUCGAGUCCCCGACAGAUUUGGCGACUCCGCCGGGACUCGUCUGACUCUCCGGUGCGGGAUCAGACUCCGAAGCAACGCAGCGCGCAUCCUCUGGCUUCAAGGAGCCUUGCCCGGUAACCUGAUCCCUGCGUCGGCAAUAAGGCGAGUCCUGUGAACCAGCUGAAGCCCGUAGAAACCCAGCAACGUCCACCUACCCGUUGAGUAGGACCCAGGUCUUCGGGGUUCGAGUCCCUGGAUAAGGUAAGCGAUCGCCAGGAAGGGGUUGGAGGCCCCGGAGAGGGGUUAGAGGCCCCGGAAUAGGGUUAGAGGCCCCGGGAUAGGGUUAGAGGCCCUACAGUCUAAAUGGGACAAUUUGGCAGUAAAUGCCUGGGGGACGCCCCGUUGUCUCUGGUACUUAGAGAUCGGAAGGAAAUCUCUGGAACAACCGGUUUGACUAAAUCUAAGAUGAGAAAUUUAUGCCAAAUUCAAUGGCCUUCCUUUACUGCUCAUUUGUCCCCGACUAAAGAUUGGCCAAGCUGCGGAACCUUUUCUGCAGACAGGAUGAAUUCCUUGAGGGAUAUUUUGGUUGACCUUAGACCGGGACAAAUGGAUUAUUUAUUUGUAUGGUGUAACUAUAAACCAAAAGAAAAACUGCUUUCGGCCCCAGCUGGCUGUGAACAAAUAUAGACAGAGGCAAACCAAAGGCAAUACAAGUUACAGUGCUGAAAUUACAUUUGCAAAGCUUAACUGUCCAGUGAGAUCCAACAGUCUGCCUUUAAGACCCUGGAGCUGGCGUGGUUUGGGGACGCUGUGAAGAAGCCACAGGCAGCUGGCCUGGACUGGAAUCUCUGAAAGAGACGCCGCAGGAGACCCCAGGGUGUAAAAGAACAGCCCUCCCAAGAGUGGAAGCAAGUCAGAGAUUCUGGACAAGUUGUAUACAGGAUAAUCUCCCAUCCACCUCUCCCCCUUCUCUGGACGUUAUACAAAGACUUGGCCAGUCUGGACGUACAUGUAUCACUGUGUGUUUGAAAGCAGGAAUUAGAAGUAAAAGGCAAUCAAAAGUCUGGGAAAGUUAAUUGUGUCCUUUUUAAAAGUAAAGAAGCACUACUCAAAGACCGUAGCAGCCCUGCCAUUCAUUGAAACCAGGAGACUGAGUCUACGUAAAGUCCAUCAACAAAAGACUGCUUUGACUCCAUGCUGGAAAGGCCCUUUCCAAGUCCUGUUAACCACCAACACUGCUGUGAAGUGCCAAGAACUGCCUACCUGGACCCAUGCUUCUCACUGCAAAAAGACCCCUCCACCUCGGGAGGACUCUCCGACUCAUGAUCAGCCUAUUCCUCCUUCUAGCUCUGCUGUACCUUCUGGACAGCAGGAAAAAGAAAAAAAAAACAAGGUGAAGUGCUAGUAACCUCUCCCUUGUCCACUGACAGACCUACUGUGCCUUUGGAUUUUUCUAAAAGAAGCAAAACCAUUACAGGGUGAUGUGCUAGUAACCUCUCCCCUGUAUGAUGCUGAACCACACUGUUUCAGAAAAAGAGAAGAAGGAACACUCGCUCCAUUGAAACCACCAAAGUCCAGGAAUUCCUGACUACAAAAAACCAUUAAGAACUGACCCUGGUGAAGAAACAAAGAAUUAUAUACUGGCAGGAAGAAACUUGUGGGACCCAUGCUUAGGAAUGUGGUAUUGAUUGGAUUUUGGGGUUUAUUCUACAGGCUGUGCCCUGUGUUUUGAAUAAGUCCUUCAGCAUGUAUUGCCCUCCCUAAUUGGAUUUUAAAUGACAAGUACCAAAGGCACUUUGUUGCCACUGCCCCUGCCAUCUCCUCCAUUACACUGUUACCCCUGUAACACAUCCAAAUACAGACAAUGCCAUAUAUCGGAUAAAACCAACGGCCAAGGCCUUCACACUUUAGUGAUUUAUUUAAAUAUUGUUUGAAAAAAAAUAUUUUUAAGGUUCAGGAUAUCCCAUAUAAGCGAACAAUUGAAUGAAAAAGAAUGGAUCAGUGGAAAUAAAAAUACAUAAUAUCACUACAAGUGAACCCCAAGAAUUUGUAAUUGAAAUUAAUGGGUUCUAUAGUGAAGUAGAUAUGAUGGCUGUUCCUGGAAUUUGCACUGUGUUAAAUGAGAAAGGCCCUUAUUGGUAUUUGGUCACCCAAUUAGUAAAUAAUCAAAUGACUACCCAAAGAGUUUGUUCUGCCACUGAAAAUUUUACCUGCAUAGAAAUUAUUCCAGUGACUAAUAAUGUUACCUGUACCUUAUUGCAAUACACCCCUUCUUAUGCCAUUAAUAUCAAUGCCUCCUGGAAAUACAUAAAGGUGUUCAACCAACAGAUGUGGUAUAGUACUACACCAAAAAGAGAUGUAUUAGGAUAUCAAUGGACUGUGUGAUUAACACUACACUAGGGACUGUUAAAUUUUCAUUGCCCUUAUCCAGUUUCCAGAUCACCUCUACAUACCCAAAUUGUUCAAAAGGGGCUGCUAUUAGAUUAGCACAACAGAGGGCUUGGGUUAUUUCCUCUAGAAAGAAGAGAGACUUGACCGGAUCCCUAUGGGAUGGGGCCAAUAGUACAGCAGCAGUUUAAAAUAUUUUUAAGAACCAAAAACAUAAUAAGAAUUUGGGGCAACUAAAGAAGGCCACAGGCCUUAUUUCUGGGGCACAGCUAACCCAGGUACAGGCUGGAAUUGGUGAGUUACAUGUUAUCUCCGCCCUUAGUUCUAUGACCCAGAAGUUGCUGACAGAAAUGGUAUUGAAUAUCACUGAGGCUGGGAAGGCAUUGCAGUGGGAUCUAGCAUGUUCAGGCUUGGCCCACUGCCCUUACAGACACAUCAGGAGUACCAUCUGAUCUGUGGCCAUGGAGACAUACUUGGAGACUUUCUGGGUGGAAGUGCGGAUGUUCUCAAUGCUCCUUCCAAGCAUAUGGACCGGUUGGGGGUGUGUGGGCUCCCACAUACCGAAUCCUGCCGGGUCCAUAGGGAGGAUGCAUGUGGAAUUGGGUAAAUCACUGAGACAUCUGGGAAAUUAGACUACCGCCAAUGCCCUGGUGGACUUGGCAACCGCACAGAGAAAACUAAGGCAGAUGGUUCUCCAGAACUGCUUGGCUCUAGAUAUCUUACUGGCCUCUCAGGGAGGAACGUGCACUAAUUAGGCAAAAAUGCUGCGUAUAUGUUCCUGAUGUUUAUAACGCCACCUGGGACAGAGCAAACCACCUCAUACAAGUAGCAAAGGACCAUGGAGGGGAGCGGGUUGAAUCCUGGUGGAGUAACCUGUUCAAUUGGAUUCCAAACAUAGGUGGUUGGCUCCAUAAUGUACUCCGAAGCGCCGUUGUAAUUAUAUGUGGCCUGCUAGCUUUGUAUGUUAUGAUAAAGGUUGGAUGUUGGAUGGGUACCAAGCUGUGUUCCGUCCAAAAGGAAUCAACUCCAAGCUCACCACUCAUAGCAGCUAGUUGUCCCAGGAGUCCCUCCAAGGCACUCCAGGGACAAAAGGGGGGACUGUUAGGCCCAAAAAUAUGGAGUAUAGAACAUUGUUUGGCCAGCUUAGCCAAAGUUAGGCUAACAGUAGUUGCUGGGCCAUUCCUGUCUCUCUGUGAAACCUGAGGGCAUGCUUGCUUAAGCUGCAGAGAAUAAGAUAAGAGGUGGGGGCCGCAUUCUUGUACCAGAAGUGCUAGGAACAGUUUGUUUGGACAGAUAGAGACUUGCAGUCUCCACUCCCUGUUUCUGUUCUUUAUCUGUACUCAACUCCCUCUUUUCUCCCAGUCUCUGGUGCAUGACGACAAAGCUGAUAAGAAGCUGCUGAGGCAUCAUGAAUUGUUUGUACUGUCAAAGAAGAUAAAUAUGCAUGAAUAUUAGAAGCUUUUAGCUAGUAAAGGGGGGGAUUGGGUUGUUUUAACUAUGACGCGACGGAACUGUCUAUAUAAUCUCACUAGUUAUUGUAAUCGUGGCUGGUUCUCUCUGGAGACGGGCCGCUCUCUAUUGUUGUGUGCACUCUUCAAUAAAGAGCUUGUGUUUGGAC